GACGAACGCUGGCGGCGUGCCUAACACAUGCAAGUCGAGCGGGAACCUCAGGAGGGGUAACCCACCUGAGGGAGAGCGGCGAACGGGUGAGUAUCACGUGGGCAACCUGCCCCGGACACCGGGAUAACCCAGGGAAACCUGAGCUAAUACCGGAUACUCCGGAGCGACCACAUGGUCGCUCCGGGAAAGCCUUGACGGUCCGGGAUGGGCCCGCGGCCUAUCAGCUUGUUGGUGGGGUAAUGGCCCACCAAGGCGACGACCGGUAGCUGGUCUGAGAGGACGGCCAGCCACACUGGGACUGAGACACGGCCCAGACUCCUACGGGAGGCAGCAGUGGGGAUCGUUGCGCUAAUGCGCGAAAGCGUGACGCAGCGACGCCGCGUGGGGAU
rnacentral:rRNA from 1 species